ACUGACGGAGCCAGCGAGUACUCCCUUGGCCGGAAGGCCCGGGUAAUCUUGUUAAACUCCGUCGUGCUGGGGACAGAGCAUUGCAAUUAUUGCUCUUCAAC
rnacentral:ncRNA from 1 species